CCUACGGGGGGCAGCAGUAGGGAAUAUUGCUCAAUGGGGGAAACCCUGCAGCAGCAACGCCGCGUGGAGGAUGAAGGUUUUCGGAUUGUAAACUCCUUUUGUUAGAGAAGAUAAUGACGGUAUCUAACGAAUAAGCACCGGCUAACUCCGUGCCAGCAGCCGCGGUAAUACGGAGGGUGCAAGCGUUACUCGGAAUCACUGGGCGUAAAGCGCGCGUAGGCGGGAUAGCAAGUCAGAUGUGAAAUCCUAUGGCUUAACCAUAGAACUGCAUUUGAAACUGUUAUUCUAGAGUAUGGGAGAGGUAGGUGGAAUUCUUGGUGUAGGGGUAAAAUCCGUAGAGAUCAAGAGGAAUACUCAUUGCGAAGGCGACCUGCUAGAACAUAACUGACGCGGAUGCGCGAAAGCGUGGGGAGCAAACAGGAUUAGAUACCCCAGUAGUC
rnacentral:rRNA from 1 species